AUCAGCUCCAGUCACUCACAAGGAGGGGACUGAACUUUGCAAAAAAGAACACGGUGACUGCUACUAUUUUUGCUGCAAGGGCCUCCCCUUUAGACAGCUUGUGCCAGAGCAGGAGUUUUUUUUUCACAACAACUAACUGGAUUUUAACCCUCUACCUCCAGAUUCGCUGUAUGUUAGCUUCAAAUAGCAACUCAACACGGACUACAGAACAUAGUUGCACUUCUUUUCUUUUUUAAAUCUGCUGUCUUAAUAUUCUGGGAGAGGCCACAAGUUCCUUAAUUUAUUUUUAUUUUUAUUUUUUAUUUACAUUGAAUAUUUUAGUUUGUUAAUUUUUUUUAAUCACAAUUGCAGAUCAUUUUUUUUCCCUCCUUUUUUCUUGAUUUAAGAAAGGCAGAGCUUUGUGCUGCCCAUCAAAAAUGGCUGUAUUUUGUGAGUUCACUGCGCAUCUGCGGGUAAAGACAGUAUGCGAUUUGUAAGUGCCAGUAGCUGUAUUAGAAGUAUCUCUCUCUCUCUCUCUCUCUCUCUCUCUCUCUCUCUCUCUCUCUCUCUCUCUCUCUCUCGUUGGCCCUUUCUCCCUAUCGGGAGGGAGAGGGGUGUGCUGUGGAGCUCUUUCUGGGACAGGUGCCAACUCCUAAACAAAAGACAUAAAAAAGGCAAUGAAAGAAAAAUGCGUCGAUUGAUUUUUUUUUUAAUGUGUUACGUAGCGAAUGAAAGUAGUGAUGUUUGAUAUAAUAUCAUUGUUUUAUCUUUACUUUUAUUUUUGUAUCUAAUACAAAGCACAGUUUGCGUACUUUCUGUUCUCCAGUAGUAUAGUAAAGGCGUCUGAGUUAAGAAGAGAAGGUGGGGGUCCUUUUUCAGACUGUUGAAUUAUUCAUAGGCCCAGUGUUGAGGCCGGAGCAGCGGUGUUAUUAGCAUGCAUCAGACAUACAGUUUGUCUGUUUGCUAACAUUCUUCAUUCAAAGACUUGUUAACCACCAGACUAGCUUAACACAUGUCUUCCAACCACCCUUACGGCCUUAUUUUUUGUCCGUUACUGGCAGCCAAGGGGCACGAAUGGCACAGGGAGCAUGUGGUUGGGAGCUGGGGCUGGUUGCUAGGGCUGUGAAACCCACAAAAUGAAACCUUUUUUUUUUUCCUCUCACCCUUGCCUCAGCGUGUGGUUGCUGCUGACUGGGUUCUCCUGCCACUGAAUUCUGGUGUCUUGAUAAAGAAUUUAAGGAAAAGGAACAUGAAUGAAUGUGACAGUAACUGCAACAAGCUUUAAUCGCCCAUAAUGACAGGUGAUGUCCACAUCAGAGGUGCAGUAAAGGAAUGAAAUGGAUCGUUUUCAUUCCUGGCUUGGGAAUGUUGCCCUUUUUUAUGCAUGACAUAAUUCCUUUUGGGAUAAGAUGGAGACUGGUAUGGUAUGAUAUGAGAAAAUACAGUUUUUUCUCCCCACCGCCGUCAUACAUUUUAACCAGUAGAUUGUAGGGUCUUACACUGGAGUUAGACUGUCCUUUGGGGUGAGGUAGUAGGUUGUAUAGUUUUAAGGGUUACACCCUUCCUGUCAAUAACUAUACAACCUACUGUCUUUCCUGAAGUGGCUGUAAAUUCGUCGCUGGAUGAGUGCUCACAAACGCCUGCAGCUGCUUGUAGCUGUUUGAAAAACAACAUAUUGUAUAUAAUGUACUGUAUACAACCUACAUAAACACGUUUUUUUAUGCUGAGCUAAGAGGAUAAAUCUCCCAAGUUCUAAUGCUAUUUAUUUGCUGUCCCAUUCCAUCCCAUUGUAGGCUUAGCCCUGUAACAGCACACGUGUGAAGAAGUCAAGCAUUUUAUAAGGUGUUAUGAAGUUAGGGUAUAGGGGCUUUGAUGAAAGGAAAUUAAGCAAUAUAAUUCAACCUGUUUUCAUUUCAAAACUAUAUAUUCACCUAUAAAAUAAUAUGAUUUGCUUUUGUACUGUAUUGCACUUAUUAUAUAUCUUUAUUUCAUCAGCUUUUAUUUCAUUAUAAAAAAUACUGCAGAAUAUAGCACCUUUAAUCUUUGGUGCAAAGUGUUUUGUAAUACCUUGAAAGAUUCUAUAUCGGACCAAUUGAUUUUUUUUUUUUUUUUUGCCAUAUUACGCUGUAUGACUUAUUUCAUUCUAGCAGUUAAUUGUUAAAGGACGCGUAUGUAGCAUAAGUUAGCAAGCUUUGAAAAUUAUCACUUUUCCACAAAGGUAGAACAUUUUCAGCUGCUUAAGAUGUUUAGUUCAGUUUUUAACUGUUACAAAACAGACUACCAUAAGUAAUAUCAUUUCAGGCCUCCUAAGCAUGUAGAAGCAUGUAUUGUUUAAUAAAGACUGGCACAAACUCUUUAAAAAUGUGCCCUAUGGCUGUUCAAGAUGCGUCUCGUGUAUUAGGAUUAAAAAUAGGUCUAUUGUGGAUUCCUGUGUGAUAUUAGAAUGUAUUACAGUGCAUUUAGGUUUCUCACAAGCUGUGUAAGGCUUCACUCAGUGCAGUUCAGUUUCCACUGGCCCACAUGCUUGUUGCUAUCCUCUCUGCUAAUGUUCGCACAGGGUGAGGUAGUAGGUUGUGUGGUUUCAGGGUAGUGAUUUUACCCCAUCAGGAGAUAACUAUACAACCUACUGCCUUCCCUGAAGGGCAGCAGUGCAACUCUAAGAACAAGCAACAGUAAUCUUUAAUAGUUUAGUUUCAGCAGAAAUAUGUAGGGGACAUUUUCAAUGUUUUCAAUGCAACUUAAAACAUUUCCCAAAACUGGUUGUUUAUUUUAAAAUAAAAAUGUGUCAAAUUUUUGUAUUUGACUUGAAAGUUAAGUAAGGUAAAGUUGGUUACCAAGGUACAGCAGAUGCAUUUCAAAAGUUUGUAGUGUUUCACUGUUUUCAAUUAACCUCACAAAGAAUAAACACACAGGACCAGGAUAUGCAUCACCAGACUGCUGUAUGUUCCUUCUGAAAUUAUGUGUAAAUAUGUCUUUGUUUGUAAUGAACUUUUAUUACAUUAUAAAUAAACAAUUAAACAAGA